rnacentral:rRNA from 1 species
AUUGAACGCUGGCGGCAUGCCUUACACAUGCAAAUCGAACGGUAACGGGCCUUCGGGUGCCGACGAGUGGCGCACGGGUGAGUAAUACAUCGGAACGUGCCCGAUCGUGGGGGAUAACGAGGCGAAAGCUUUGCUAAUACCGCAUACGAUCUACGGAUGAAAGCAGGGGACCGCAAGGCCUUGCGCGGACGGAGCGGCCGAUGGCAGAUUAGGUAGUUGGUGGGAUAAAAGCUUACCAAGCCGACGAUCUGUAGCCGGUCUGAGAGGAUGAUCAGCCACACUGGGACUGAGACACGGCCCAGACUCCUACGGGAGGCAGCAGUGGGGAAUUUUGGACAAUGGGCGCAAGCCUGAUCCAGCCAUGCCGCGUGCAGGAUGAAGGCCUUCGGGUUGUAAACUGAUUUUGUACGGAACGAAAAGCCUUCUUUUAAUACAGGAGGGUCAUGACGGUACCGUAAGAAUAAGCACCGGCUAACUACGUG